rnacentral:tRNA from 1 species
GAAUAGCUCAAUCGGUAGAGCAGUUGACUCUUAAUCAAUUGGUUCAGGGUUCGAGUCCCUGUU